GAAAAAACGUUACCUGAUGAAAGCGUUUCUUUUGUUUACAUCGAAUAUGACGUCAUAACUUAAAGAACGUCACAGCUAAUUCCCUAACAACAGAAUCAAAAUCGGGAACGUUACGUACGGUAUUUCGGUUUCUAUUAUCAACGUGAUUGAAUUAAAAAAAUAAUACAUACAGACUUCGUCCCCAUUCACAGGUUAUGCCUGCCUCAUAUUAUUUGGUUUAUUAUUGUAUUUUUUUGUGUGUUUUGUAUUUUUUAUAGUUAGUGUUCCAAAAAAUAUGAAAACUUGACGUACGUGACGUCACAUACCAAACAAUGACGUCAUUCAAUAAAUUGCGUCACGCCCGAAUGACCGUUCUAUUGUAUUUUUAGGGGGGGAUUUAAGCUUACAUAAAUAAAAACUGACUUUAAGUAAAAAAAAAAAAGUAGGAUGUGAUAAAGGGUAUGCGAUAAAGGGUGCGCAUCAAAGUUGCGCGAUAUGGAUUAAACAGCAGGCUAUAUCAAAUAUUCAAAACUACUGUAUUUACUACUAAACAUAUGAUAAAGUGUAUUUAAAA
rnacentral:lncRNA from 1 species